rnacentral:antisense_RNA from 1 species
AAUAUGGAUAAGAAUAUGGACGAGAGUUAGAGCAUCCGAAGUUAAUACUUGGAAGCUUUAACAGUCCGUUUGUUAGAGGAACUACCCUGAACUCUAGCUUAAUUUUUGACCCAGGUUUAGCUUCUAUAUAACCAUUUCUAGCUCCAAUAAACCACCAGCAUCCCUUAUCUUCUGAAUCUUCAUCUCCAAAGUAGUUUAAACAAUAUGAAAAUGUUUCUUCUUUUUGAAAUGUAUAAUUCAGGUAAAUAAUCAAUGGAAACUCCGAAUCAACUUUUGAAUACGAGGGGUGUUCAACAUGGUCUAAACUUAAUCCAUCUAGACUUGUUUCUAAUAAAUUGUCUGUGGAAUGUGUGGAUUUUCUCAAUGAAAUAAAAUUGUACAAAGUUUCCAUUGGAAUUUGGAAAGGACCUGAAAUAGAUAACUUUGUUCUUUCUUCUUUUGGUAGGCUAAUUGUUGAUAUUAAGAUUUGAGGAGUUAACACCUUUUGAAGUUCAGUUUUCGGAACUAUCCAUAUCAAUUUUAGAGGUCUUGAAUUAGAUUCAAUAAUCAAUGGAUGAGAAAGAGUAUAUUCACGAAUUGAAUAUAAAUCUCCCAAAUCUUGAAAAUUUUCAAUUGUUCUUGGUUUUAAUUCUACUGGUGCCAUGAUUCCAAAUAAAUCUGAGCUUUCCAGAUCUUUUGGAAGCAUGGUAAUGAUCUUUUCUACCAAAACUCUUUUACAAGUUGCUUCAAAAAGUAAUUCAAAGUAAUAAAAUGGUAAGCUAUAAUGAUCUAGAUUUGGAACUGGUUGAAUAUUUUUCAAAUCUACUUGUGGUCCUACUUGGAAAACAAAAUUAUGUCUAGUACAAACUUCUUUGUCUUGACCUUUAAUACUUGCAAUUAAAUUUAAACUAAAAUUUACUUCAGUUGACGUUUUCAUUGGAGACAUAUCAAACAUUAUUGGUGUUUGAAUUAUACACUCACUUGAAAAAGACGGAAGUUUAAUCAAUUUUUGAUUUAUUUCUGGUUUUAAAAUACUACUGGACUCCAUACCAUCUAGCUGUACUAAUUCCACUUCAUCAGUAAAUACUUGUAUUGAUUCAGUUUCAGAUUCUUGAAAACUCAGAGUUACUUCCAUAUCAACAUUGUAUAUUUGAAACCAAUCCCUUUCUAUUUCCACUGAUAUUCUAUAUAACUUCUUUUCUCCUGUAUUUGUGCUCAACAAAUUCCUUGAAGCAGAUUCAGGAAGAUUUGAUUUCUGUAUUAUAUCUCUAAACUGAAUUUCCAUACUAAUCAUUUCUGAUAAAUUUUUAAUCCCAAAAGAAUAUAACGUGGUCCACUUUUUGAGAGGAUUCCAAGCGUUAUCUCUAUUACAUUCUAAUUCAUCCUUACUUGUUUUAGUAAUUAUACCUGAAUUUAUAGGUUUCUUCCCAGAUAAGAUUCCUAAAUUUGUUUCAAAUAUCUGAAAUUCUGAAAUAACUUUUGGUAAUAUAUGAGGUGAAGGUAAUGUGCCCAAAGGAAUUACCCAAAGGAAGUUAAUUGGAAUGCUGAAACUUGUUCUAUCAGAUAACCCAAUAGAAUCUAUAAAGAAGCUAGAUUCUCCUUCUUCACAGAAAAUAUCUAGUUCUAUUUUGUUUAACCCUGGCUCCAAAAUGACUUUGCCUUUUGAAGAUUCAGUAAUCGUAUUUUCAAGUAGUAUCCACCUAGUGCCAUUCACUCUCAACCAAACAGAGCCAAAAUAAACAGGAGAAGAAAGUCCAAUGUAAAUUAAUAAUAUACAACGCGAUGGAAUCCCAGGAACUGCAAACUUGUGUAUCCAUGAAUUCGGAGGUGUAACAAGACAUUGAGUAGAAUCUUCAUUUUUUGGACUGAGAGCUAAUUUUGGGCUCGCUGAAGCAGAUUUUUUUGAAUUAGAUUUACUUGCUUCAGUAAUCACCCAAUUUGAUGGCCCUGGAGUAUUUACAGUAAUGACCUUAGAGGGAGACAGGUUUUCCUCGACCUUUAUUGCAUUAUCUAAAGGAGAAGAUGGUAUUUUAAGUCUUUCACUAUUCUUUAAUGAACUACCAUGAACACUUGUACUUGUUGGAACCCUUUCUCGGUCAUCUAAAUUGUUCAUUUCCGAUAUUCCAUUGGUUUUUUCAGAGUAUAGACUCCCAUUAAAUGAACUUGCUUUGCUUUUACUUUUGGAGCUACUUCCAUAAGAACUACUUCCCCAUUUAAACCCUGUAACAAUUUCCCACAUCCAUUGUCUAGGCGAACCAUCCUUUCUUUUAUUUGAACCCAUUGGAUUUGAGAUAUUACUUCUUCCUUCUCUAACAUGUUCAAGCUCUGAGUUAGAAAAUGAAAAAGAUCGCUCAUGUUUAGAGCUUUUUUUUUGAAACCAACUAUUAUAAUUGCUAUUUGAUCCUGAUCUGUUAGAACUCUUCAUUUUUUGGGUGCUUAAAUUAUUUCCAGCUUCUUGUUGUUCUAUUCUUUGUGAUUCCAUAUUUUUCCCUAUCUCUUGUUUUUCCAUUUGUCCUAUUCUCGAUCCAAUAUCUUCAGAAGGUUUUAUUUGUUGUCCAGAAGACCCAAGGGGACUUUGUAGUGGUGAAAGGACAUUUGGAGAUUUUAAGAAUAAUCUUCCACUUGGUCUUAGUAUUUCAUGAAAAACAUAGAAAUACCCUUGUACUGGUUUUAAUGGAUCUAAUAAACCGCAACAAGGUAAAGCUUUAGUAGGUAAUCUGAUUAGCUUUCCUCCUCCUAAAAGAGCCAUCAGGAUUUGUCUUUCAACAAUCUUGAGAGUAACUCCUUUGAAUGAUUUUGUUUGUAAGUCAUAAGAUUCCAAAGC